AAUGGGCGAAAGCCUGACGCAGCAACGCCGCGUGCGGGAUGACGGCCUUCGGGUUGUAAACCGCUUUCAGCAGGGACGAAAUGACGGUACCUGCAGAAGAAGGCCCGGCUAACUACGUGCCAGCAGCCGCGGUAAUACGUAGGGGGCAAGCGUUGUCCGGNUUUNUUGGGCGUAAAGAGCUCGUAGGCGGUUCCGNAAGUCGCAAGUCAAAUCUCUGGGCUCAACCCAGAGCCGCUUUCGAUACUGCGGUGACUGGAGUCCGGUAGGGGAGUGUGGAAUUCCUGGUGUAGCGGUGAAAUGCGCAGAUAUCAGGAGGAACACCAACAGCGAAGGCAGCACUCUGGGCCGGUACUGACGCUGAGGAGCGAAAGCGUGGGGAGCGAA
rnacentral:rRNA from 1 species